GCUGUGUUCACAGACAACCUCCCAGGCAACACAAUGCCUUCACCCAGCAAAACUGCAGAUAUCUCCAGAAAGCUCCUAGGAAAAUGACCAUGAUUUUAGCCUGAGUGGCCUUCCUGUACCUGCUUCUACAAUUAGGGAAAGAGAGGCAAAGAAGUGACGUGCACUGUCAAAGGUUGCCUGGCUGGUCUGUGUGGCAAGACUUUCUGCUCAACCCCAUCCAACAGAGCUGGAUUUCCACCUCUCCAGCAGGUGCUAAUACAGCCUGCGGGCCUACAGAUGAAUUGUAAGAAGAAAGGGAGGAGAAGGCUGUAGAUCAGGAGACUUCAAAGACAUAUCAACGGUUGAUAGGUGUACUGGAAGUCAGUUUUGGAGAAGCCAAGGAAAGGUCCACCCCAUCCGACAAAGCCUAUUGAUGAAUCAUUAAAGAAAAAAAAGCAAGAAAGAAACAAGAAAAUCUGCCAAGGAAUGCAUCAAAUAUAUUCCAGUUCUACCAACCAUCUAUAAUUUUCUACUUACCUAAUGGGUUUUUCAAAACCUAGUUAGGCCCUCAAAAUAUGUACCUUGAAAACAAUCUGGAAUAGCACAUAGUAUGGCAAAGAUAUUAGAGUGGCAAUUUCUGGGUGCU